GUUGACUUCGUUGCAAGCAGUGUAAAGCACGCAUUAAUCGGAAUUGAUGACAUCCAGUUAGAGAGCUUCUAUUGCGGCGUUGGAUAUAAACCGAUCAUAUCCGAAGUUUACGCAUAUUGUAACAAGUCUCGUGUUGAGUUGCCGUCUUGUGAACACAUAGAUUGUGGUGAGCAGAUAGCUCCUUCAAAUGGCACAGUAACGACCAAUUCCACUUUAUAUGGAUCCAACGCUACAUUCGCGUGUAAUAGAGGUUACACCUUGAACGCGAGUAUUUCAUCUACAUGUCAACGAAACGGCAGUUGGAACGUCAUUGAGCAAUCGUGUAUUA